AGUUUUGGCGGCUCGGAUGGGAGGGCUCGCGCCCUGCCGGUUUCUCGCAAGAGGUUGCCCGGUCUGUCAACCCGUCCGAGCUGCCGCCCUC
rnacentral:antisense_RNA from 1 species